AGGGAUCGAACCCGAGACCUCAUGGUUCCUAGUCGGAUUCGUUAACCACUGAGCCACUACAGGAACGCCCCCCUUUUUUUUUUUUUUUUUGUCUUUUCAGAGUGAAAUAUUUAUACUCAAAUUUUAGUCUGUUCUUACUUUUAUCAAAACAAAUAUUCACUAAUGGUACUAAUUCCUAUUCCUAUUAACAAAAAAUAAAAUUAUAUGCAAGUACCACACCUUUAUAUUUUUAACAAUUUUACCUUCUCUAUCUCCUUUUUUUGCCUUUUUUUAAUGGCUGCAUCCAUGGCACAUGGAAGUUUCCAGGCUAGGGGUGAACCUGGAGCUGCAGCUACCAGCCUAUACCACAGCCACAGCAACUCAGGAUCCUUAACCCACUGAUCGAGGCCAGGGAUGGAACCCAUGGACUCAUUACCCCGAGUUACAACACGAACUCCACCUUUGCUUUUUCUUAAAUAUAAAGCAACUUUGGUCAUUAUGUCUCAUAAAGUACAUAAGGCCCUUUAUGAUUUUAGUAGAUGAUUCUUAACUAUUCUCAAGGCUUUUACCAACAUAUUUUAUUUCAUAAAUAAUAAUUUUUCCUACAUAGGGCAUUUAUAACAUAGCAUUGUGGUAAAUUCAAUCAAGAGAAACAGCCUUUAGACUUAUUUUCACAAUCUAUUAUAAAAUACGUCUGAAUUAAUUGUAUUACUUUUCACGUUGUUUUACAAUAUACUUUCAAAAUAUUAUAAAGUAUACCCAAGAUAUGCAUUAUUUUUUAUUGUAAAAUACACGUAACACAAAACUUACUGCCAUAGCCAUUGUCAGCACACAGCUCGGGCCCAUUAGUACAUUCACACUGUUGUGCUGUUGCCACCAUGUAGCAUCAUCUCCAGAACUCUCCUCACCCCAUAAACCUGGCACUUGGGGCCCCUAAACCCUGCCCCCAGGCCCCUCCCCCCAGCCCCUGCCCACCACCAUUUCUCCUUCUGUGAUUUUGGACGACUUCAGGGACCUCACGUUGGAGAAAUCAUACAGUGUGUCUUUUUGUGACAGAGAUUUCACGGAGCAUAGUGUCCUCAAGACUCACAGAAGGAUAUUGCAGAAUGUCCUCCUUUAAGGCGGAAUCAUAGUCGUGUGUUUGGACCAUGUUUUGCUCAUCCUUUCAACCAUCGAUGGGUGGUUUAGCUCUUGUGAAUGAUGCCCUUGUGAACACAGUGCACAGAUAUCUCUAGGGACUCUGAGGUUUCAGUUCUCUGGGGGUGUAUACCCAGAAGUCGGAUUGCUGAAUCACGUGAUGGUUCUAUUUUUAAUUUUUCUGAGGAACCUCUACACUGUUUCCUAAGCAGCUGUACGUUUCACAUUCCAACCCACGCACCCAGAUUGCAGUUUCUCUGCAUCCUUGUCAACACUCGUUUUCUGCGAUUUUUAAUGGGUAGCCAUCCUAAUGGGUGUGAGGUGAUAUCUUAUUGUGGUUUUGAUUUGAAUUUUCCUGAUGAUCAGAGAUGUUGAGCAUUUUUUUGUGUGUUUAUUGGCUAUUAAUAUGUGUUCUUCAGAAGAAAUAAUCUUCUUUGGAGAAAUGUCUAUUCAAGCCCAUUGCCCAUUUUUGAAUCAGGUUUUUUUUUUUUUUCUUUUGUCGCUGAGUUUUAGUACUUUCUAUAUUUUAGGUAUUAAUCCCUUAUCAGAUAUUAUCAUUUUUAAUCCUGACUACUGCUAAUAAUCUUUCUUAUAAGACACUUUUCAUAUGUUUCUCAGUGAUUUUUACACUGUUUCUUGAAACCUGUAUUCACACAUUGAAACAUCCUGCGCUGUCCCCAGGGAGGACAUCCUAUCUGGCAGUUCCUUGAGCGGAUUGAAGCCACAGCGCCUGGCUUUCUAAGCACCCACGGGCAGUGGUGCCAUUGUUUGCGUUGGCGGGGCCUCAGCCUCAAGGUCCUGAUGAAGGUGGAUUAAGCCUCUCAUAAAAUGAAGUCUAACUCUCCCUUAGUGGCUGGACCAGUGGGCAGGCCUGAUGACCCCCUGGGAGGCUGGCAAUGGGGUCUCUGGGUAGACUUCCCAGAACCAGCGUAAGGAUGGUUUUCAUGUCUGGGUGGCAGAGCCUCUGUUAGGCAGCUGGUUCCAAUUCUUGGCUUCCGACUAAGCCAAAGGGGAUGCAGCUGCUGUAGCUUAGGAGGCGUCCCAAGCCUGGUGAUGCUGGGGAGGAAGGCCCUUCUCUCUCAGAAGUGAACGCAGCCCCUUGGUGGCUGCGGGUGCAGAGCAGAGCUCCGAAAACAAAGGUGAAGAUAGAAGGGGUGCCACAUCAGCCCUGCUGAUUCUAGGCAGCGGCAACGUCCACCCAGAGCGAGGCUCCCGUGGGAAAGAAGAUUACACAGCAGGUUUGCAUUGAUGUGAAAGACCGGAGAAGGGGCUCAGAGGCCCUCUGGACCAGCCCUCCUGUCCCUUCUUGAUUAGGGGGCAGCCCCUCAGGAAACGGCAACAACUGCAGAACCGCCAUCUCCUUAGGAGAUGCUCUCGCAUUCAGCCUCACUUGUUCUAUGUAGUAACUAAUCAAAAUUUCUACUCUAUUAUCUUGACUUGCUCAGUAAUAUCAAUAAUUAUAAUGAAAAUCAAAUUUUAUGGAGUUCCUGCUCUGGUGUAGUGGGUUAAGAGCUGGACUGCAGCGGCUUAUGUUGCUGUAGAGGGUGGGUUUGAUCCCUGGCCCCGGCAGUGGGAUAAGAAUCCGGUGUUGCUGCAGCUGUGGCGUAGGUCGCAGUUCUGGCUCAGAUUUGAUCCCCGGCCCAGGAACUUCCAUAUGCUGGUGGGUAUGGCCAUAAAAUUAAAGAAAUAGGAGUUCCCGUCGUGGCUCCGUGGUUAACAAAUCCAACUAGGAACCAUGAGGUUGUGGGUUUGAUCCCUGGCCUUGCUCAGUGGAUUAAGGACCUGGUGUUGCCGUGAGCUGUGGUGUGAGUCGCAGACGCAGCUCGGAUCCCAUGUUGCUGUGGCUUUGGCAUAGGCUGGUGGCUAUAGCUCUGAUUAGACCCCUAGCCUGGGAACCUCUAUAUGCCAUGGGAGCAGCCCUAGAAAAGACAAAAAGACAAAAUAAAUAAAUAAAUAAAAAUAAAAUUAAAAAAAUAAAAAUAGGCAUUCCCAUCGUGGUGCAGCGGAAACGAAUCUGACUAGGAACCGUGAGGUUGUGGGUUUGAUCCCUGGCCUCGCUUAGUGGGUUGAGGCUCUGGUGUUGCCGUGAGCUGUGGUGUAGGUCACAGACGUAGCUUGGUGUGGCAUUGCUGUGGCUCUGGUGUAGGCCAGCAGCAACAGCUCAGAUUAGACCCCUAGCCUGGGAAUCUCCACAUGUCGCCGGUUCAGUCUUAAAAGGACAAAAGAUUAAAUCAAUAAAUAAAAAAACCCUAAAAUACCUAGACCUUUUAGUCAUAGGAAAUAAAAUAAUUUUGAUGUAUAUACAUGUUUCUGCUACAGAAUUUUAUGAGGAUGAUAAUAAAGCACCUUGAGCAUGAAAUUCUGUGACAUGAGUAUAAAAUUCUGUGAGGGAAGUGGAGUGGAACUCUGGUUAAGGAGAAAAGAAGGCGUAAAAUUUCUGACUACUGGUGUGGAACUUCCUUAUAUAUUAUUAUUAUUGCUCAUGUAUUUUUUAAUGGAUAAUGGUGGGUCUUAAACUGGUAUGAAAUUUGUUUUCUAUGGCAUACAUUCUAAAGAGAUCUAAGAGGUUUUUUUAAAAUGCCAAUAUUUACAAUAUAUAUGAAGUUAUAUAUUACGGUGAAAAAGGUAAAUGUAAUCUGAAAAAUAUGUGAGGUCAGUUUUGUUAAAACGCUGUCCAGGACCCAGUGCAGGUGGGGGAGCUGCUGGGGUGCAGGCUUGGGUGGCACCGUCUCAGGGAAACUGCAGGACGGUCUGUGCGUCGAGGGGCGUCUGGGUAGGAGGAGGGGAGGUGGUGAGCCAGCAAGGCCUCAGUGAGGAGGUCACAGGAGCUUUUGGGUGGCAGGCAGGUGUCCUGUGGCACGUGGAGAGGGCAGAGGACAGGCAGCAGGGGGAGGGGGUGGCAGGACUCAGGUUUGGUGGGUGGAAGUGGCAGGUGCUUAUGACUCACAGGGAGGUAGGGGUCCAAUGUCAGCUCCUGACUCAGCUCUGGGCACAGAUACUGGGGGGCUGUUAGGCUGUUGGGUGACACCUCCAGGUAUCUGGAGCUUAGAGGGAAAACGAGGUCUCAUCACCAUCACUGUAAUUUUGUUGUUUGUGAAGCAUGGUCCUUCCAGUCUCCCCCCUGUGCCCUGAGUGAUGGAGGCAGGAGGGAGGUCCGGGAGCAGGCCUCUCCCUGGACAGGUGGACGGUCAAAAGAAGAGUCAGUGUCGGAGUUCCCUUCAUGGCUCAGCGGUUAACAAACCUAACUAGGAUCCAUGAGGAUGCGGGUUCGAUCCCUGGCCUCACUCAGUGGGUUAAGGAUCCAGUGUGGCCGUGACCUGUGGUGUAGGUCGCAGACGUGGCUUGGAUCCCAUGUUGCUGUGGCUCUGGUGUAGACUGGUGGCUACAGCUCUGAUUCAACCCCUAGCCUGGGAA
rnacentral:lncRNA from 1 species